GAUGAACGCUAGCGGCAGGCUUAAUACAUGCAAGUCAAGGGGUAGCAAUACAACCGGCGCACGGGUGAGUAACGCGUACACAACAUACCAUAUACUGGAGUAUAGCUUUGGGAAACUGAAGGUAAUCCUCCAUAACAUUGCGAGAGGGCAUCUGAUUGCAAUUAAAGUUUCGGCGGUAUAUGAUUGGUGUGCGUUUGAUUAGCUAGUUGGUAGGGUAACGGCCUACCAAGGCGACGAUCAAUAGCUGGCGUGAGAGCGCGACCAGCCACACUGGAACUGAGACACGGUCCAGACUCCUACGGGAGGCAGCAGUAGGGAAUAUUGGACAAUGGAGGAAACUCUGAUCCAGCCAUGCCGCGUGAUAGAUGAAGGCCCUCUGGGUUGUAAAUAUCUUUUAUCUGGGAAGAAACACUCCUAUUCUUAGGAACUUGACGGUACCAGAGGAAUAAGCACCGGCUAACUCCGUGCCAGCAGCCGCGGUUAAAGU
rnacentral:rRNA from 1 species